AAAAAAAAAAAAAAAAAAAACACUGGUGAAAGAAUGUCAGACGGAACAAGUAUGGUGAUGGAGUCUUCUGAAAAUGGGACAGAUAUUUCCCAAGACGAUACUGGCAACAUGGAAGAAAUACCUGAAGAUACAAUAUUGUUGCGACAAACUUCUGUGAACCUUGUUCCAUUUAUUGGCCAAAGAUUUGUAUCUCAAGAUGCUGCUUAUGAAUUUUAUUGCAGUUUUGCGAAGCAAUGUGGCUUUUCAAUUAGACGUCAUCGUACUCGUGGAAAGGACGGUGUUGGUAGAGGAGUUACAAGAAGAGAUUUCACUUGCCAUCGUGGUGGUUAUCCACAGAUGAAACCAUCUGAAGAUGGUAAGAUGCAAAGGAAUCGCAAGUCAUCGCGUUGUGGCUGUCAGGCAUAUAUGCGCAUUGUGAAGCGGGCAGAUUUUGAUGUCCCUGAAUGGCGUGUUACAGGCUUUAGCAACAUCCACAACCAUGAAUUGUUAAAAUCAACUGAAGUGCAUCUCCUUCCUGCCCAUUGCACCAUAUCUCCAGAUGACAAGAGUCGGAUUUGCAUGUUUGCAAAAGCUGGAAUGUCAGUGAGACAGAUGUUACGAUUGAUGGAGCUAGAGAAAGGUGUGAAGCUAGGUUGUUUACCAUUUACUGAAAUAGAUGUGAGAAACUUACUACAAUCUAUCAGAAAUGUCAAUCGAGAUAAUGAUGCCAUUGAUCUUAUUGCAAUGUGCAAGAAAAUGAAGGAUGAAGAUCAUAACUUCAAAUAUGACUUCAAAAUAGAUGGCAAUAAUAGGUUGGAGCAUAUUUCAUGGUCUUAUGCUUCAUCUGUCCAAUUAUAUGAAGCCUUUGGUGAUGCAGUUGUUUUUGACACAACCAACCGUUUGGAUGCCUAUGAUAUGAUAUUAGGCAUGUGGCUUGGGGUGGACAAUCAUGCGAUGACUUGCUUCUUCGGUUGUGUACUGCUACGUGAUGAAAAUAUGGAGUCUUUUUCCUGGGCACUGAAGGCAUUUGUGGACUUCAUGAAUGGAAAGGCUCCUCAAACUAUUAUGACUGAUCAAAAUAUAUGGCUGAAGGAGGCUAUUGCAAUUGAAAUGCCAGAAACUAAACAGGCCUUUUGUAUUUGGCACAUCAUUGCUAAAUUCUCAGAUUGGUUUUCCAUGCUGCUUGGGUCAUGUUAUGAUGACUGGAAAGCUGAGUUUCUCCGACUCUAUAAUCUUGAGUUUGUGGAAGAUUUUGAGGAAGGAUGGAAAGAAAUGGUCAUCAAAUAUGGGCUUCAUGCUAAUAAGCACAUUGCUAGUUUGUAUGCACUGCGGACAUACUGGGCUUUGUCGUAUUUGAGGCAUUACUUUUUUGCAGGAAUGAUGAACACUUGUCAGUCUGAAUCUAUUAAUGCUUUCAUUCAACGGUUUUUGAGUGCACAAUCACAAUUAGAUUGUUUUGUUAAGCGAGUGGCUGAAAUUAUUGAUUUAAGUAAUUGUACUGGAGUCAGGGCAGAGACUCAACGAAAAACACAAAAAGUUUACCUCAAAACAGGUUCACCGAUCGAAUCACAAGCAGCCUCUGUUCUUACUCCAUAUGCCUUUAAUAAGCUCCAAGAGGAGCUUGUGCUAGCACCACAGUAUGCGUCUUUUCCGAUAGAUGAAUAUUGUUACCAAGUCAGACACCAUACUCAGGUAUCUGGGGGGUGCAAAGUCGUUUGGGAUCCUUGUCAAGAGCAUAUCAGUUGUAGCUGCAAUCAGUUUGAAUUUCUAGGCAUCCUUUGUAGGCAUGUUCUCCGUGUCCUAUCAACCAAUAACUGUUUUCACAUUCCAGACCAAUUUUUGCCUACCCGAUGGUGUGAUGUUAGUUUGUCAUCCAAUACAAGAGUGCAUUCUGAAAGGAUUCAGUUACUAGAAUCCAUGGUGUCAACAUUUGUGACAGAAUCAAUUGAAACAGAGGAACGCCUUGAUGUUGCAUGUGAGCAAAUUGCUAUGGUAUUAUCUCAUAUUAAGGAUCUUCCUAGGCAAACACAUUGUGAGAAUGCCUACAAUUGCCCAUCUGAGUCAUUGAUUCUACCAAAUGAAGGUGCUGAUGGAAUAGUUCAGACUGUAGCAAUUGGAAAUCCUCAUGAUACUAUUAGUCUAGGAAAACUAAAAGAGAGAAGGCCCAGAGAUGGAAAUGAUAUAUCCAGAAAGCGAAGGCAUUAUUCUGGUCCUUGCUGUGGGCAGUUUGGACAU
rnacentral:misc_RNA from 1 species